AUGGAAAUGGGCAUCCACGUAACAGUCUGGCCACAUUUCCAUAGGGCUGCUACAGUAUCCUGGGGAUCUGCUCCCGUCGUAGUUGCCUUGCACUUUCCAGUACCCGAAGGUAUCACCAGUGAAGUCUGUAAAACUGCAAAAAUGGCAUGGCAGCCUGCCCCUCCUUCUGGGAAUUCUUUUGUUGUUGUUGUUGUUGUUUGUUUCUUUGUUUGUUGUAUGGUCUAAAAAUCCUGGUAGCAUCCGGUGUAUACCUAUAUAUAUAUAGGGCUUUUCCUAUCGAGCAGUGAUAACAGAUAUAAACAAGUAGUCAAGUAGGAGUACAAGUAGAUGCUUAAAACCUUCAAACUCCUUUUGCAGACCUCCAGAUAGAACCGAAGGCAAUUUGAGGAUGAGAACCAAAGUCUGUGCCUUCACAGGUCAAAAAACAAUCCAUAGACAAUGAAUUACUCAUUUAAUAUGGUUCACCCUAAAAGAGGGUAGGCCAAAAGAAGAUAAUGAAAUCCUGUUAUGAAGAAUAAAAUACUAAAGGAGUGGGACUGAGACUAUUGAAAAAAUUAAUACAGAGGCAGGUUUCAGCUGAACACAAAAUAAAAACAAACCAAAACCUGAAUCUGUUCCACAUUUAUCACUGGAACAAACUACCUUAGAAAUAAAUAUCAUCACUGGAGGUAUUCAAGGAAGAGCUAGAUGACUGUCCAGGAGAAGAGAGAAGAUCUUGGGUCUUGGAGCCUGUCUGGAUUUUAUUCUGGUCUACAAUGCACUUGUGUGAGCUUUAGCACAUCACUUCAUCUCUGAGACUUGCAUGGUUUAUCUGCAGACACGGGUUUUACCUACCUUUUAGUUGUUUUCGGAAUUAGAGAUAAGUUUUAUAAGGUAUCUUAAACAGUGCCAGAUACAUAGCAGGUGUGCAAUCAAUAGGAGCUGCUAGUUUCUUUAUCACAAAAUUAUGAGUCAAUUCAAAGGACGAAUUAGAUAAUGACUAUUUUUUUCUCUUUUUUAAAAUUUUUAUUUAUUUAAUUUUUUUAUUGCAUUUUAGGUUUUGGGGUACAUGUGCAGAACAUGCAAGAUGAUGACUAUUUAAGUCAGCUUGCCGUUAUAAAAUACCAUAGACUUGAUAACUUAAACAACGGAAAUUUGUUUUCUCACAGUUCUGGAGGCUGGAAGUUCCAGAUAAAACUACUAGCAUGGUUAGGCUCUGGUGAUGGGUUUUUUUAGCUUGCAGUUGGCAGCCUUCUUGCUGUGUCUUCCUGUGGUUGUUCUGAGAGUCUGCAGUAGGGGAGAGAGAGAAUAGAAGGGAGAGGAAGAGAGCGGUGUAGAAUUCAUUUCCUCUUCUUACAAAGCCACCAAUCCUAUCAGAUUAGAGCCCCACACAUAUGAUUUUAUUUAGUUUUAAUCACCUUCUAAAAGCCCUAUCUUUAAAUACAGUCAUAUUAGGGAUGUGGGGCUUCAGCAUAUGAAGUUUAGGGGGACACAAUAUAGUCCCCACUAAGAACUUUCCCUAAAUUUUCAAAAGCACUCUAUAAUUGACAAACACUUUAUUCCAUGGCUUCAUGCCUACUCUUGCCAGUGUUACCCCUUACCUCUACCUUUCCAAUUCCCAAUCAUCACAGGCUUUUAUACAUCACUCGCCAAGGAAGUCAUCUCUGAAGCUCUAGGCUAAAUCAGACAUCCUCAUUAAGCAUUCACAUAACACUCUGUAUGUUUGUUUUGAGCCCUUCAUACAAUUGGAUUAAACAUUUUGAGUCUUUUCUAAAUGCUCCCUUUCACUAGUAGCACUCUGCUCCAUUAGGUUAGAGACAGGUUUUGCGUUUUUCCACCUCUGUACUGGCUGAGGUAACAUAGUUCUGGCAUACAAUAUAUUUAUCAAAGUAUUAAUUAAUUAACUAAAAUUAUUAAGUUGGUGCAAAAGUAAUUGUGGUUUUGCCAUUGAAAGUAACGGCAAAAAGUGCAAUUACUUUUGCAACAACCUAAUUUGAGAUGCUCUUUGCUUACCUCUAUCCCUAGCAAUCAUUGUUCUUGACACAUACUUGAAACCUGUCCAUUCAAACUUUAUCAGCUAAAAUUAAUUUAGUGCUUCCGUGUUCACUUUGUCCAUACUAAUGAUAUAACAUUCGACUAAAAUAAAGCAUAACUGUCUUCACAUAAACUUGCUAACACUGAUGCCAGGAUCUCAAAGUUUUUAUUCUCAGCAAUUAUACUGAUAAAAAAGAUGGAUAGAAAUACAUUCAAUACAGAGUAAGGCAUGUUAGCUCUGCUAGUAUCUUGCUCCCUACAACACUGGUCAUAAAAGUGCAAGAAUUUUCUAGAGUCUGAGACACAGAUCCAAGAAACUAGUUCCACUGGUCCCUCAGGAUGCUCAUGACACAGUGUAAUAACCCCUCAUAAACCAUUUAAAUUCUUGUUUCUAAUCCAGAAACUAGAGUGGACACCUUGGGACCUUCUGACAAAUACCAAAUGUGAGUUUUCCAGUGUCAAUCCAUACACUAAAUAUUAGUAUGCUCUAUUCCUCUUAUUUGUACAUUAAAAAUAUAAACUACGUCUUUGUGGUGGAAAUUCAACAUUUUGGAAGCCACUGCUCUCCAGACCUUUUUGGUUAUCCGCCACAUAACUAAAAAUACUUUAAAUGCAUUCCUCCUAUAUUUGUGGGUUGGUAGGCUUACAUUGUUUAAAUAUAUACAACCAUACCACUGUUACAUAUGCUAUAAAAUAUGCAUAAAAUAUACACCAAGUGAAAUUGAGACAAGUGUUAAAUGAACAGCAUUUAUGAAUACUUUAAC
ensembl:lncRNA